AUUGAACGCUGGCGGCAUGCUUUACACAUGCAAGUCGAGCGGCAGCGCGGGGGCGAACCCUCGGCGGCGAGCGGCGAACGGGUGGGUAAGUAGAUAGGAACGUAUCCGGGAGGUGGGGAGUAACUAGCCGAAGGUUAGCUAUACCGCAUAUUCUCUUAGGAGGAAAGGCGGGGACGUCGCAAGAGCCUCGCGCUCGCGGAGUGGCCUAUCUCCGA
rnacentral:rRNA from 1 species